GCCUCCGAGGAUGAGUGGUUCAUCACCUCACACUGUUAUCGCGUAUAUGACUGUCGGUCCUGAGGAGAUGCGGGUUCGACUCCCGUCGGAGGCC